GGCGACCGAGGCACCCGGCCGACGCUGUCCACUGUGACGGCCCUGCGGCGUCUCGUGGGCUCCAGGGCAACGCGCCGGCUUCGUCACGAUAUCUACGGCGGGCGCCGAGGCCCAAGCUUCCGCCAGGUCUCUUGUUUCCCCAACCACCUGCUGUCCAUCACCUGCCCGGAACCACCCGAUCCUGACGGUCACCACUGCGCAGAACCAGGGAGCUUCCAUCUGCAGUCUCAACCCACUUUACAUUAUUCCUAACAAGAGACCUUAAAUGAGAAUCUGUAUAUUCAUCGUGGGUUACCAUGGUCCCAAGUUCACCCAUCCAUGAUGCUGACUGACAUGGACACUGUUCUGGACAAAAUGCCAGUAAUCUUUCCAAAGCCAGUGUAAUCACCACGUGUUGAGAUGCAGCUUCAACAGCUCCAGGCAGAACAGAUCUUCACAUGGCAUUCCCUGAUGUCUCUUAUCUUAGCCUUUCUUCUCUCUAGUCUGGUUACUAAUUGGAAGAGCUAUGUGAACAAGAAGGACAACGGAGAGCAAGCUUUCACUCUUGGGCUGGAAGACAGAAGCAUAGAUGAAAACCAGCCAGCUCUCAGGCAGGGACGAAAGACAUCACCUGGACUGUGGAGAAAGAAGACCAGAAGUUCAGUCCUUUUAUUGCAAAGGAGAAUCUGCGUGGUGGUGUUUGCUGUGACAGGGCAUAGAAUGGAGACGGUUCUAGAACAGGUGGAGCUUCCAUGACAAAGCAGGAAACAUUUGCACUGGAACUUAAGAGGAGCAGGGGAUAUCAACUAGCUGCCUGGAGAGGAGAAGAG